AUUAGCUCAGAUGGAUAGAGCACUGGAGUUCUAAUCCAAUGGUCGUGGGUUCGAAUCCUACAUGG
rnacentral:tRNA from 1 species